ACGCGUAAAGCGCCGUAGGCAGGAGCGGGGGACCCAGGUAGGCGCCGGGGGCCGGACGUCGGAAGACGUACGGAAACCGGCUUGGGGUUAAGGCGCGCGACGCGAGUCGCGCGGCCGGGCACUCAUUGGCCCGAACCCGACAGCUCACCUCGUAGGCGUCGGUGAGGAGAUGU
rnacentral:sRNA from 1 species